CAGAGUUACCACUCUUUUAGAAUUUGUCUAGCAGGUUUUCUGUUUUUUUUUCUGGGACCACCACA